rnacentral:rRNA from 1 species
UACGGAGGGAGCUAGCGUUGUUCGGAAUUACUGGGCGUAAAGCGCGCGUAGGCGGCUUUGUAAGUUAGAGGUGAAAGCCCGGGGCUCAACCCCGGAACUGCCUUUAAGACUGCAUCGCUUGAAUCCAGGAGAGGUGAGUGGAAUUCCGAGUGUAGAGGUGAAAAUUCGUAGAUAUUCGGAAGAACACCAGUGGCGAAGGGCGGCUCACUGGACUGGUAUUGACGCUG